UUUUCAAAGAAGUACAAAGACGGAUUCUACAUAUUUGUUGAGAAUGAAAUUAAUCUUCUUGAUAGUCCUAUUAAUCUUACACCUGUUAAUUGGAAUGUCCGAAGCGUUUGGCUGUGCUUGUGCUUUUCCUUUCUUCAAUUACUUCUGCUGCAUUACUGUAAACACCUGUUGUUGGGGAAAGGAAGGAGAUGAUUCCAACGGCGAAUAAGAUUCACUGCAGAUUCAAGCUAAAGCUGUGAGAAGAUAUUACUAUUUUUUUCAUUCUAAAAAUUGCAUUUCAAUAAAGCUAAUCUACAUUGUCAGGCCAUGGAGCUUAUUCUGUCUGCCGAGAAAACUCUUUUUCAAGUUUUUGCGAUCAUGAGUUUAUUGCUGAUCCUUUUUCCACUAAGAAGCAAUGCCUUCGCUUGCCUAACCUGUCUCUUUCCUAUUUUUCAUCCGAUUUGUUGCGCCUUAAUACAUACAUGCUGCAAGAUGGAUAAGGCUCCAGCUGCGACUGCUGCUCCCAAUGCUACAGCUGCUUGAAAUCGCUUCAGGAACACGAUUGCUUCCCACAGUUUUAUUUACGUAAAAAUUGUUACACUAACCAAAUGAUUAUUUUUUCAGCGAAUUAAGCUGAAUCUUGAA